rnacentral:rRNA from 1 species
UACGGGGGGGGGCAAGCGUUGUUCGGAAUUACUGGGCGUAAAGGGCGCGUAGGCGGCCUGCUAAGUCGGACGUGAAAUCCCUCGGCUCAACCGGGGAACUGCGUCCGAUACUGGUGGGCUCGAAUCCGGGAGAGGGAUGUGGAAUUCCAGGUGUAGCGGUGAAAUGCGUAGAUAUCUGGAGGAACACCGGUGGCGAAGGCGGCAUCCUGGACCGGUAUUGACGCUGAUGCGCGAAAGCCAGGGGAGCAAACGGG